UUGCAAGAGCUGCUGGAUAAGGGACUCACCCCUUCCAUGCUCAAAGUCUAUGUGGCAGCCAUCACGGCGAAUCAUUCUUUCGAGGCUGGCCGGACAAUUGGCAGAAACGACUUGGUCGUUAAGUUUCUUAGAGGUGCUCAGCAGUUAAACCCUCCUCGACCUAAGACGGUGCCAGUAUGGGACUUGUCUAUGGCCCUGAGAGCUCUAAAGAUCUCCCCCUUUGAGCUGCUACAAACAGUCGGCUAAAGGGUCAUGACACUCAAAACUGUUCUGCUUUUGGCCCUGUCUGUCAGUGCUUCCUGCCUUGAGUUUGAGUUUCUCCAGCCGUGCAGCGGCUAUGUACCAAAGGAGUUCUCAAAUCCGUUGCAAUCUCAGGGAUCCAGUUUGCAUGCAGGAGAGAGAUUACAGUCGGAUCUGUGUUGUGGUCUGUUGAACAGCCUGACCCUUCAUGCACUUCGGAUUAGCUCCAGUUACCAUUAAUGGAAAGUAGAGCAGUCGACUGGCCCGUGAGUAACCAGCCCUUUCUCUAACCUCCCCAAUGCAGUUUCCAAAACCUAC
ensembl:lncRNA